UACGUAUGGUGCAAGCGUUAUCCGGAUUUACUGGGUGUAAAGGGAGCGCAGGCGGUGCGGCAAGUCUGAUGUGAAAGCCCGGGGCUUAACCCCGGUACUGCAUUGGAAACUGUCGUACUAGAGUGUCGGAGGGGUAAGCGGAAUUCCUAGUGUAGCGGUGAAAUGCGUAGAUAUUAGGAGGAACACCAGUGGCGAAGGCGGCUUACUGGACGAUAACUGACGCUGAGGCUCGAAAGCGUGGGGAGCAAACAGG
rnacentral:rRNA from 1 species